CCUACGGGUGGCAGCAGUGGGGAAUAUUGCACAAUGGGGGAAACCCUGAUGCAGCAACGCCGCGUGAGUGAAGAAGGAUUUCGGAUUGUAAACCUCUGUUAGUAGGGAAGAAAAAUGACGGUAGCUAAGGAACAAGCCACGGCUAACUACGUGCCAGCAGCCGCGGUAAUACGUAGGGGGCAAGCGUUAUCCGGAAUUACUGGGUGUAAAGGGAGCGCAGGCGGGAAGCCAAGUCAGAUGUGAAAACAACGGGCUUAACUUUGGGACUGCAGUGGAAACUGGUUUUCUUGAGUGCAGUAGAGGUUGGUGGAAUUCCGAGUGUAGCGGUGAAAUGCGUAGAUAUUAGGAGGAACACCGGUGGCGAAGGCGGCUAACUGGGCUGUAACUGACGCUGAGGCUCGAAAGUGUGGGGAGCAAACAGGAUUAGAUACCCCUGUAGUC
rnacentral:rRNA from 1 species